rnacentral:rRNA from 1 species
UGGGGAAUUUUGGACAAUGGGCGAAAGCCUGAUCCAGCAAUGCCGCGUGUGUGAAGAAGGCCUUCGGGUUGUAAAGCACUUUUGUCCGGAAAGAAAUCCUUGGCUCUAAUACAGUCGGGGGAUGACGGUACCGGAAGAAUAAGCACCGGCUAACUACGUGCCAGCAGCCGCGGUAAUACGUAGGGUGCAAGCGUUAAUCGGAAUUACUGGGCGUAAAGCGUGCGCAGGCGGUUUGCUAAGACCGAUGUGAAAUCCCCGGGCUCAACCUGGGAACUGCAUUGGUGACUGGCAGGCUAGAGUAUGGCAGAGGGGGGUAGAAUUCCACGUGUAGCAGUGAAAUGCGUAGAGAUGUGGAGGAAUACCGAUGGCGAAGGCAGCCCCCUGGGCCAAUACUGACGCUCAUGCACGAAAGCGUGGGGAGCAAACAGGAUUAGAUACCCUGGUAGUCCACGCCCUAAACGAUGUCAACUAGUUGUUGGGGAUUCAUUUCCUUAGUAACGUAGCUAACGCGUGAAGUUGACCGCCUGGGGAGUACGGUCGCAAAGAUUAAAACUCAAAUGAAUUGACGGGGUCAUAGCUGUUUCCU